rnacentral:tRNA from 1 species
ACCAGGUUGGCUCAGUUGGUAAAGCAUGUGACUCUUGAUCUCACGGUCGUGGGUUCAUGCUCCACAUUGGGCA